UUAAGUUAACAAGGGCGCAUGGUGAAUGCCUUGGCACUAGGAGCCGAUGAAGGACGGGACUAACACCGAUAUGCUUCGGGGAGCUGUACGUAAGCUAUGAUCCGGAGAUUUCCGAAUGGGGCAACCCAGCAGUUUUAAUCAACUGUUACCACUAGAUGAAUUCAUAGUCUAGUUGGAGGUAAACGCUGUGAACUGAAACAUCUCAUUAGCAGCAGGAAUAUAAAGAAAUUUCGAUUCCCUAAGUAGCGGCGAGCGAACGGGGAACAGCCCAAACCAAAGUGCUUGCACUUUGGGGUUGUAGGACUGAACAUUUGAGUUACCAAAGAAYUUGAUAGUCGAAGGAUUUGGGAAAAUCCGCCAUAGAUGGUGAUAGCCCAGUAGAUUAAAUCAARUUCUCUCAGUUCAGGAUCCUGAGUACGGCGGAACACGUGAAAUUCCGUCGGAAUCCGGGAGGACCAUCUCCCAAGGCUAAAUACUACCUAGUGACCGAUAGUGAACCAGUACCGUGAGGGAAAGGUGAAAAGCACCCCGGGAGGGGAGUGAAAUAGUUCCUGAAACCAUGUGCCUACAAUAAGUCAGAGCGCGUUAAUGCGUGAUGGCGUGCCUUUUGUAGAAUGAACCGGCGAGUUAUGAUCCCGUGCAAGGUUAAGACUAAAAAGUCGGAGCCGUAGCGAAAGCGAGUCUGAAAUGGGCGUUUUGAGUACGAGGUUAUAGACCCGAAACCAGGUGACCUAUCCAUGUCCAGGUUGAAGGUGCGGUAAAACGCACUGGAGGACCGAACCCGUGUAAGUUGAAAAUUGCUGGGAUGAGGUGUGGAUAGCGGUGAAAUUCCAAACGAACUUGGAGAUAGCUGGUUCUCUCCGAAAUAGCUUUAGGGCUAGCCUCGGAAUUAGGAUCAUGGAGGUAGAGCACUAUUUGGACUAGGGGCCCGUCUUGGGUUACUGAAUUCAGAUAAACUCCGAAUGCCAUUGAUUCAUAUCCGGGAGUCAGACGAUGAGUGAUAAGAUCCACCGUCGAAAGGGGAACAGCCCAGACCAUCAGUUAAGGUCCCUAAAUGUAUGCUAAGUGGAAAAGGAUGUGGAGUUGCAUAGACAACUAGGAUGUUGGCUCAGAAGCAGCCACCAUUUAAAGAGUGCGUAAUAGCUCACUAGUCGAGUGAUCCUGCGCCGAAAAUGUACCGGGGCUAAGCAUACUACCGAAACCAUGGAUGCGACCAUUAGGUCGCGUGAUAGGAGAGCGUUCUAAGGGCGGUGAAGCAAGAUCGUGAGGACUUGUGGAGCGCUUAGAAGUGAGAAUGCCGGUAUGAGUAGCGAAAGAUAGGUGAGAAUCCUAUCCACCGAAUGACUAAGGUUUCCUGGGGAAGGCUCGUCCUCCCAGGGUUAGUCGGGACCUAAGUCGAGGCCGAGAGGCGUAGACGAUGGAUAACAGGUUGAGAUUCCUGUACUAGUUAAGUGCGUUUGAGCAAUGGAGGGACGCAGGAGGCUAAGAUGUGCAUUCUGUUGGAUUAGAAUGUCCAAGCAGUAAGUCUUGUGAAGAGUCAAAUGCUUUUCACUUUAAGGACAAGCUGUGAUGGGGAGCGAAAUUUAGUAGCGAAGCGUCUGAUGUCACACUGCCGAGAAAAGCUUCUAGUGAGUACUUAACUACCCGUACCGCAAACCGACACAGGUAGUCGAGGAGAGAAUCCUAAGGUGAGCGAGUGAACUCUCGUUAAGGAACUCGGCAAAAUGACCCCGUAACUUCGGGAGAAGGGGUGCUGAUCGCAAGAUCAGCCGCAGUGAAUAGGCCCAGGCGACUGUUUAUCAAAAANNNNNGUCUCUGCAAAAUCGUAAGAUGACGUAUAGGGGCUGACGCCUGCCCGGUGCUGGAAGGUUAAAAGGAUGGGUUAGCUUCGGCGAAGCUCAGAAUUGAAGCCCCAGUAAACGGCGGCCGUAACUAUAACGGUCCUAAGGUAGCGAAAUUCCUUGUCGGGUAAGUUCCGACCCGCACGAAAGGCGUAACGAUCUGGGCACUGUCUCAACGAGAGACUCGGUGAAAUUAUAUUGUNCGUGAAGAUGCGGACUACCCGCGACAGGACGGAAAGACCCCAUGGAGCUUUACUGUAGCUUGAUAUUGAGUGUUUGUACAGCUUGUACAGGAUAGGUAGGAGCCAUAGAAACCGGAACGCUAGUUUCGGUGGAGGCGUUGGUGGGAUACUACCCUCGCUGUAUGACCACUCUAACCCGCACCACUAAUCGUGGUGGGAGACAGUGUCAGGUGGGCAGUUUGACUGGGGCGGUCGCCUCCUAAAAAGUAACGGAGGCGCCCAAAGGUUCCCUCAGAAUGGUUGGAAAUCAUUCGCAGAGUGUAAAGGCACAAGGGAGCUUGACUGCGAGACAGACAGGUCGAGCAGGGACGAAAGUCGGGCUUAGUGAUCCGGUGGUACCGUAUGGAAGGGCCAUCGCUCAACGGAUAAAAGCUACCCUGGGGAUAACAGGCUUAUCUCCCCCAAGAGUCCACAUCGACGGGGAGGUUUGGCACCUCGAUGUCGGCUCAUCGCAUCCUGGGGCUGUAGUCGGUCCCAAGGGUUGGGCUGUUCGCCCAUUAAAGCGGUACGCGAGCUGGGUUCAGAACGUCGUGAGACAGUUCGGUCCCUAUCCGUCGCGGGCGUAGGAAAUUUGAGAGGACCUGUCCUUAGUACGAGAGGACCGGGAUGGACAUACCUCUGGUGUACCAGUUGUGCCGCCAGGCGCAUCGCUGGGUAGCUACGUAUGGAUGUGAUAAACGCUGAAAGCAUCUAAGUGUGAAACACACCUCGAGAUGAGAUUUCCCAUUCCUUUAUGGAAGUAAGACCCCUGAAAGAUGAUCAGGUAGAUAGGUUAGAAGUGGCAGUGCGGUGACGCAUGAAGCGGACUAAUACUAAUCGGUCGAGGACUUAACCAA
rnacentral:rRNA from 1 species